AAAACAAAGAACAUUAAGAAGACCUAAGAAAUAACACAUAAAAAAUAAAAAUCAUUUAGUUUAAUUUUAAUCACAUAUUCAAUUUUUUCUGCUACAAAAAACACUUUUUUAACUCAUCCAGACAUUGAGAAUAAAUAUCAUUAUUUCAACAUUAAUGGAAACCCACCCACAAUAAACAUAAACAAAACAAACCAGUGGAACCAAAUUAAAACCAAUUAUCAAACCAAACGGAUGGACACAAGAAACAGGAGCUCGAGAACAAACAAAAAGGAAACAAAUCUGAAGGAAUUACAAUAAUAACAAAUUCAUCAGACUUUUCGGGACAACAAAUAAAGUGUUUAUUUUCCUUUACAAACAAAUAAAACUAAAACAUAUUGUACAUAUAGAAACAA